rnacentral:rRNA from 1 species
UACGGAAGGCAGCAGUGGGGAAUAUUGCACAAUGGGCGCAAGCCUGAUGCAGCCAUGCCGCGUGUAUGAAAAAGGCCUUCGGGUUGUAAAGUACUUUCAGUCGUGAGGAAGGUGUUAAGGUUAAUAACCUUAGCAAUUGACGUUAGCGACAGAAGAAGCACCGGCUAACUCCGUGCCAGCAGCCGCGGUAAUACGGAGGGUGCGAGCGUUAAUCGGAAUUACUGGGCGUAAAGGGCACGCAGGCGGUUAAUUAAGUUGGAUGUGAAAUCCCCGGGCUUAACCUGGGAAUGGCAUUCAAGACUGGUUAGCUAGAGUCUUGUAGAGGGGGUAGAAUUCCAUGUGUAGCGGUGAAAUGCGUAGAGAUGUGGAGGAAUACCGGUGGCGAAGGCGGCCCCUGGACAAAGACCUGACGCUCAUGUGACGAAAGCGGUGGGGAGACAAACGA